AAUUCGAUUAGAGUUUGAUCCUGGCUCAGAUUGAACGCUGGCGGCAUGCCUUACACAUGCAAGUCGAACGGUAACAGGUCUUCGGAUGCUGACGAGUGGCGAACGGGUGUGUAAUACAUCGGAACGUGCCCGAUCGUGGGGGAUAACGAAGCGAAAGCUUUGCUAAUACCGCAUACGAUCUACGGAUGAAAGCAGGGGACCGCAAGGCCUUGCGCGAACGGAGCGGCCGAUGGCAGAUUAGGUAGUUGGUGGGAUAAAAGCUUACCAAGCCGACGAUCUGUAGCUGGUCUGAGAGGACGACCAGCCACACUGGGACUGAGACACGGCCCAGACUCCUACGGGAGGCAGCAGUGGGGAAUUUUGGACAAUGGGCGAAAGCCUGAUCCAGCCAUGCCGCGUGCAGGAUGAAGGCCUUCGGGUUGUAAACUGCUUUUGUACGGAACGAAAAGACUCUGGUUAAUACCUGGGGUCCAUGACGGUACCGUAAGAAUAAGCACCGGCUAACUACGUGCCAGCAGCCGCGGUAAUACGUAGGGUGCAAGCGUUAAUCGGAAUUACUGGGCGUAAAGCGUGCGCAGGCGGUUAUAUAAGACAGAUGUGAAAUCCCCGGGCUCAACCUGGGAACUGCAUUUGUGACUGUAUAGCUAGAGUACGGCAGAGGGGGAUGGAAUUCCGCGUGUAGCAGUGAAAUGCGUAGAUAUGCGGAGGAACACCGAUGGCGAAGGCAAUCCCCUGGGCCUG
rnacentral:rRNA from 1 species